rnacentral:rRNA from 1 species
CCCUUAGAUGUUCUGGGCCGCACGCGUGCUACACUGAGUGGAUCAGCGGGUCAGGUUGCGCGAAAGUGUUUCCUAAUCUUGAAAUCCGCUCGUGAUGGGGAUUGACGGUUGCAAUUUUCCGUCAUGAACGAGGAAUACCUUGUAAGCGCGGGUCAUCAUCCCGCGCUGAAUACGUCCCUGCCCUUUGUACACACCCCCCGUCGCUCCUACCGAUUGAGUGAUCCGGUGAAUAAUUCGGACUGCAGCACUGCUUGGUCUCCAGGCUUUGCAGCGGAAAGUUUAGUGAACCUUAUCACUUAGAGGAAGGAGAAGUCGUAACA